rnacentral:pre_miRNA from 1 species
UUAUGAUGAUAAUGAUGAUGAUGACGACGACGACGAUAAUGAUGAUGAUGAUGAUCAUCAUCAUCAUCACCAUCAUCAUCACCAUCACCACCAUCA